rnacentral:rRNA from 1 species
CCUACGGGAGGCAGCAGUGGGGAAUAUUGGGCAAUGGGCGCAAGCCUGACCCAGCAACGCCGCGUGAAGGAAGAAGGCUUUCGGGUUGUAAACUUCUUUUCUCAGGGACGAAGCAAGUGACGGUACCUGAGGAAUAAGCCACGGCUAACUACGUGCCAGCAGCCGCGGUAAUACGUAGGUGGCAAUCGUUAUCCGGAUUUACUGGGAGUAAAGGGAGUGUAGGCGGGAAAGGAAGUCUGAUGUGAAAACCAUGUGCUCAACAUGUGGACUGCAUUUGAAACUGUUUUUCUUGAGUACUGGAGAGGCAGACGGAAGUCCUGGUGUAGCGGUGAAAUGCGUAGAUAUUAGGAGGAACACCAGUGGCGAAGGCGGUCUGCUGGACAGCAACUGACGCUGAGGCGCGAAAGCGUGGGGAGCAAACAGGAUUAGAUACCCCAGUAGUC